rnacentral:misc_RNA from 1 species
GCAAACUUGGUCAUUUAGAGGAAGUAAAAGUCGUAACAAGGUUUCCGUAGGUGAACCUGCGGAAGGAUCAUUAUUGAAUAACAUUUGGUGGGUUGUAGCUGGCUCCUUGGGGCAUGUGCACACCUGUCUUUGUUCUAUUCAUCCACCUGUGCACCAUUUGUAGUCUGUGCAAGGGCUGAAAGCAGUUGGUUCAUCAGUCGAAAGACUGGAUGAGAGAAUUGCAUGUGCGUGAGUGCAGCUCUUCUCAGUUUCUAAACUGUGAAUUCUCCCUCAUAGGCUAUGUUUCUUAAUACACCACAUAGUAUGUUGCAGAAUGUAUCCAUGGGCCCUUUGUGCCUAUAUAAAACAUUAUACAACUUUCAGCAACGGAUCUCUUGGCUCUCGCAUCGAUGAAGAACGCAGC